ACACAGGGAUUAAAUACUAACAAGGGAACGACAUACAGGUGCAAACAAUAAUUAGAGCAAGGGAAAAACAAAAKGUACAAAAAAGGUGCAGUGGGGACAUCUAGUGACAAAAAACCAGAACAGUCCUGGCCAAAACCUGACACAAUGUGAAUCAGAAAGGCUCUAAUCAAGGCAAUUAACCCUAACGACCCCCAGCUGUGUCACCCCACCAGUGGAUGGUCACCCAGGCCCAAUAUCCACUGUUUGCUGAACAUCAGAGAUCAUUUGUUAUUGUUACUCGAAUCUGCGCGGAGCGAGAGGGAUAUAAUCCAUACUUUCAACCGCACUUUAAAAAGACAUAAAUGACACUGUGAGUGGUCAUAAUGGGUAAAUGUCUCUCUACAUUCCUAAAGAGCAAUUCAUCCAUUUUCCGUUUAACAUUUAUGUCCAAGUCAAAUUCACACAGAUGAAAAUGGUGGACACUACAGGCCAAUAGAUAUUGCUCUUCAGUGCCAGUAUCUCAUGGGAGAGACAGACCGGUUCAUUGUCUUUUCUGUUCCCUAUUAUGGCUGUCUCGUCAAAAGACAAGGAGAUAUUGCCAGCUUGACAGUGGUCAUCAAGGCUAUGCUAGAAGAGGGCCAAAUUGAGAUCACCAAGAGAGUGCCUCUCAUCUGUAAAAUGCAUCCUGAAAGAGGAAAUCAGCAAGGUUGACAAUCCACCAUUGAGAAGUUCUCCUGGGCACUGCGACAAGGACAAGGUUUCUCAUCACCAUCUUCCAGAAUGCCACUUUCCCCCCUCUGAACCUGGACACAGUCCAGAUCCCCUCCAGCCACAGCCAGAACUGCAAGUCCAAAACCAGGGCUGACCACUUUGUUACCUUUCGCUUUCCAUUCACCUACUGUGGUGCUCAAUCACAGGUACUUCCACUCUCACCGAUGGGACCCGCCAGUGACUGUGUGCUCUUACAUGUUUACUACCGAAACCAACAACUACAAGCCAAUUGCAAUUGUUCACAGACGAUCAAUCCCUAUUGACUUAUUUUUCAAUGGUAAACUACUGGGUUCAGGACUUCUUGUUUCCAUUGUCAGGUGUCCCUACAGUGGUGACAGCCACAGGACUGUGUUUCUGCCAGUGGUCCGCAGUAAGGAAGUUAAGUAUCCAUCACAUUACAAUUGGUUUGUAGUCAGGCCAUUCUCCUUUGUGAAAUUCCAUGAGUUUACAAAGUCUGAGUGCCUGUUAACUCAUAUACAACUCAAAUUGCAUUGUGUGAAAAUGAUUAGAUACUUUUCAGUAACUGGGCGGUAUUCGUCACCACUUUCUGGGCACAGAGGCUUGAAUGCUCCUGUUUACAGUGAAAAUAAUGAACUUAUUGUGGACACUUAUGUCAGCCAAUUAAUAACACUAUCCUAGUCUACCCAGGUAGACUUUCAUUAUGAUACAGAAGUCUGCCACUUAAAAGGCUGCUCAAUGCCCUGUAACAGAAUAAUUUAUCAUAUGAGUGAAGUGUUUACCAAACAGCUUUGGAAUAGGUCCAUUCUCUGGAUUCAUGUCUUAUCAAUAAGUCCCAAGUCUAUUCUCCCUAGGGAGGAGGUGAAUGGGAGUGCUGAGAGAACAGCAUAGGAAGAGUGAUCUGUAGCACAUCAUUGUCUCUGGUGGACCUGUCAUUCUUCGGGUGUAAAUAAUUUGGGACACAGUUACUCUUGUUUUAUUGAUGUAUUUAUGUUUGACUGAUUUGUAGUGCUGGAGACUAGGGAGCUCCCCCAUGCUUCCAAUGAGGUGCAGAGGGUCUACCAAGAUGCUGUCCAUGGUUCUGAAUCAAAUCAAAUGUAUUUAU